UACGUAGGGAGCGAGCGUUAUCCGGAUUUACUGGGUGUAAAGGGCGAGUAGGCGGGCCUGCAAGUUGGGAGUGAAAUCUGGGGGCUUAACCCCCAAACUGCUUUCAAAACUGUGGGUCUUGAGUGAUGGAGAGGCAGGCGGAAUUCCCAGUGUAGCGGUGAAAUGCGUAGAUAUUGGGAGGAACACCAGUGGCGAAGGCGGCCUGCUGGACAUUAACUGACGCUGAGGAGCGAAAGCGUGGGGAGCAAACAGG
rnacentral:rRNA from 1 species